rnacentral:antisense_RNA from 1 species
AGUACACAGGUAGAUUGGGUUGCUAUUUAGUUCAUGAACCAAGAAGGUAUAGAAUGAAAAAACUGGAAAAAGUUAAAAAGAGUAUAAGGAAAGUAUGAGGUGAUAAAUUAGAUAUGGUGCGUCCGAGUGGACUCGAACCACCGCCCCCCACCA